rnacentral:rRNA from 1 species
AACGUAGGAUCCGAGCGUUAUCCGAAUUCACUGGGCGUAAAGCGCGUGCAGGCGGCUCGGUAAGUUGGAUGUGAAAUCUCCCGGCUCAACUGGGAGAGGACGUUCAAGACUGUCGAGCUCGAGGACGGUAGAGGGAGGUGGAAUUCCCGGUGUAGUGGUGAAAUGCGUAGAUAUCGGGAGGAACACCAGUGGCGAAAGCGGCCUCCUGGACCGUACCUGACGCUCAGACGCGAAAGCUAGGGGAGCGAACGGGAUUAGAAACCCCGGUAGUCCUAGCCGUAAACGAUGUAGACUGGGUGUCGGUGGGGUAAAAGCCAUCGGUGCCGAAGCUAACGCGGUAAGUCUACCGCCUGGGGACUACGGCCGCAAGGUUAAA